GGAGAAGGCAAAGUGCAGAGGAAGGAGGAGCCACUGCUAAUGGGUACGAGGUUUCUUCUUGGUACAAGGACUUCUACGUUCUGUCCUCCUGCAGCCAUCUAAAGUCAGCCAGAAAGGUUUAGGAUCCCAUUUCCUGUUCUUGCAUCGGCUGUCCAAGCUGCUGUUCCUCUCUCUGCAGUAAGAGGGUGUUUUUCUCCCUAUUUAAGAGGAGCACCAACACUUGAGGACAGUAUCAUCCCUAGACCUUGGCAAGAGAGACCACUGAGUGAGGCAUCCAUGGAACCCAAGGAAGAGGCCUACGAAGAACCUGCAGUCACCUUCUAGACCAUUCUCCCUCACCAAACUGUCCCCUCCAGAGAGCUGAGGACUGGAUCUUCCCAUGCUGACACCUCCAGUGGGAAAGAAAAUUCUAGAUUCAGCUCUGGGUGUCCAAGUCAUUAUGAAGGCAUAUUUGUCAAGGUGGAAGAAAAGGACAUAUUCUAUUUAGCAGUUUACUGAGCCUGGCCAGGUCCCUGCUUGUCCUGAGACGAUGAGAGGAGGCAUGAUGUGGCCAUGGAGUGCUGGAGCAGCCGGGAGCGUCACCUUCACCUGGCCCCUCACUAGCUGUCUGCUGUCUUCUUACAAUGCUGGCGUGUCUCCAGGGCUGUGCUGAUCAAGGAGUCUCACUGGCUUUCCAGAAGAGCACAGAAGUCCUAAUUUGUAGCCUUUGCUGACUUCCGUGAUUCCAGUUCCCUCACUGACGGCAGAGUUGGGAGGAGGAGCAGUGAUGCUGACAUGCCACACCGGGUCAAGAGACAGAAUGUGCUAUAACCUUCUGGAAACUUCUACUAUUUUCCUGCAACCUGACUACCCCUUAGGUGAGGGAGUCCAGAAUGCUGGCUUGAAAUGGGAGAGAGAAAGAACUGCCACAUAAUUUGCAAGAUCUUUUUUGAAAAAGAAAAGGUAUUAAGAAUUCCAGGACAGCAUUAGGAAUGUAUUAAACCAGAAUAAGGAACAGCGAGCGGAG
rnacentral:lncRNA from 1 species